AUUUUUGUUAUAUUGACAAAAUUAUCCUCAUUUUUUAUUAUAAUCAUAAAUUAUCCUUAAUAAAUAUUAUAGAUUAAUUUGUCACCUUAUUAUAAUUUCUCCAUAUUUUUUUUAAUGAUAAUUCCAUUAUUUUUAUUACUAUGACUUAACUUUCUUUCUUUUUUCAUGCGUUUUAUUUUAUUUAUUUAUAUUUAAUAUUUUAUUUGUAAUAACUUAAUUUUUUAUAAGUUAU
rnacentral:lncRNA from 1 species